AAGUGUUCCGCCUGGGGAGUACGCACGCAAGUGUGAAACUCAAAGGAAUUGACGGGGGCCCGCACAAGCGGUGGAGUAUGUGGUUUAAUUCGAUGCAACGCGAAGAACCUUACCAGGGUUUGACAUCCUGCGAAUCUCUUGGAAACGAGAGAGUGCCUUCGGGAACGCAGUGACAGGUGGUGCAUGGCUGUCGUCAGCUCGUGUCGUGAGAUGUUGGGUUAAGUCCCGCAACGAGCGCAACCCACGUCGUUAGUUGCCAGCAUUUAGUUGGGCACUCUAGCGAGACCGCCGGUGAUAAACCGGAGCAAGGUGUGGAUGACGUCAAGUCACCAUGCCCCUUAUGUCUUGGGCUGCACGCAUGCUACAAUGGCUGGUACAAACGGCUGCGAUACCGCAAGGUGGAGCGAAUCCGAUAAAGCCAGUCUCAGUUCGGAUUGGGGUCUGCAACUCGACCCCAUGAAGUCGGAGUUGCUAGUAAUCGUAGAUCAGCAACGCUACGGUGAAUACGUUCCCGGGGCUUGUACACACCGCCCGUCACAUCACGAAAGU
rnacentral:rRNA from 1 species